GUUCAUUCAGUCCAAGUUGCGGCAGCAGGCGGUUAGGAUUUUGUAUAAACACAAUGUUAGUCGCAGAAAUCUUUCAUUGUUUCUCCAGUCUACCCCAAAGAUCGAUCUGGGAUCAUAGUUUCUCUGGUACUGCCAUCUGUGUAGUUGGAAAUCGGUGGAGGUUAUCGUGAUCAGCGAUGAUGUCAAGGUAUUUCUCCCAUUACUCACAUGUGAUAUUUCCGCAGAUCUCUUUUUUAUUCUAAUAAUUUCAAAUUUUCUUACUCUCUGGUCCUAGAACUUGGAAGGCCUAUUUUUAUUUUUUCCUUAGCUGACACAAAUACACAGUUUUACAUUUACAUAGCUUAUUUAGAUCUCUUACAGAUGAAAAAAUUCUCCUUGGAAUAUAUCUGACAAUAUUGUUUUUCUUUUCUUUUAGUAAUAAAAAAAAAUUCAAUCAAAACCUUUUUUUUUUAUGUUCUUCAAAAUCAGUCUAUCUCUUAUGUUGUCAAUGAUGUUUUUUACAUAUAUAUUUUUGUAUGGUACGUUCUAGACUUUUGUUGGGUCUGAUUUGCAUUAAGAUACCUGGACGUAAGUGAGAAUUACACUGAUGACUAGUUGUCUAUGCAACAUCUGGUUUGAGUCACCCUCUUCCUCUUCCUCUUCCUCGUUCUUCUUUUGAUGCUGAUGUUGCUUCCAAGAUCUUUCCCGCUUCCAGUCUGCUAACUGAAAAAGAGAUUGAUACGGUUUUUCCUAUCUGGGAGCACUAUCUCUUGUUCUUCCUCAGAGGGGGAAGAAUGGACAAGUACUGAUGAAGAUGACGAGGAAAUGUCAAGCGAGGAUGACGGGGAAAUGUCAAGCGAGGAUGAUGCCAGUGACAUUUCAGAAUCGAUAUCAAUAUGAGAGAAGAAAGAAGUAGUCAAAGAUGCGACUCCUGUCGAGGUUCUAGUUUAUCGUCAAAGAGUGCAGCAUUUCAAGGAUGUGCAGCCAAGAUUGAAGGAUUGGGUGAACUCUUAGCAAAAGAUAGAGAAGACAGGUUUUGGGUGGCUCAACGUGUACAGUUACUGUAAUAAGGAUAAAGGUUAUUCAGGAACUUUUUCUAGUAUUGAAUGGAUUAAAGACUGGUCUUCAACUUGCUAUCAAAUACGAGUGUUUUCUGCGUAUUAAGGUGGGGUGCAAUGUGCAAAAAGCAGUUGAUAUCCUUGGCUCGUCAACUUUCCAAGAAUCUGGUGACUGCUUUUUAAGUUAUCGCAACAGCGAUCAUGUAAAGACAGAGGGCAUUUGCAAGUAUUUCACAAAGAGGCGUGCACUGGUGAAGGGAACUUCUUUGGGGACCUUGAUACCUGUCAUCAAGGAUCUUAAACACUUGCAAGCAAAGGUUAACAAUGUUGGCUUUCAAUUUAUGAAGGUUACUAGGACUCAGAAUGAGGCUGCACAUUAUCUAGCAAAAUUUUCAAAAGAUAAAGCAGUUGAAGGACCAGAGGAGAUCCAACCAGCUGCCUUUCCUAGUGGGCUGGAAACAACUCUUUGGAAGGAUGCUUUUGGUUGUAAAACCAUGUAUUCUCGUGCUUUUAUUCACUCAACAGGUUCUUAAUGGCUUUGCAGUGAAUUAUGUGCCAGACUUUGUGUGUGUGUAUGUUUCUUGUUUUUUUUUUGGUCUACAGUUGGAAUAUCUGUGGUCUGGGUUUAUUUAUGUUAGACCUGAUGGGCUUUGCAA